rnacentral:rRNA from 1 species
UACAGAGGGUGCGAGCGUUAAUCGGAAUUACUGGGCGUAAAGCGCGCGUAGGCGGCUUUGCAAGUCGGGUGUGAAAUCCCCAGGCUUAACCUGGGAACUGCAUUCGAGACUGCAUUGCUAGAGUAUGGGAGAGGGAAGUGGAAUUUCCGGUGUAGCGGUGAAAUGCGUAGAUAUUGGGAGGAACACCAGUGGCGAAGGCGGCUCACUGGACCGGAACUGACGCUGAGGCGCGAAAGCGUGGGGAGCAAACAGG